rnacentral:rRNA from 1 species
AGAGUUUGAUCAUGGCUCAGGACGAACGCUGGCGGCGUGCCUAAUGCAUGCAAGUCGAACGCACUCGACCUUCGGGUCAUAUGGGUGAGUGGCGAACGGGUGAGUAACACGUGAGAAACCCACCCCGAAGUCUGGAAUAACUCAGGGAAACUUGAGCUAAUACCAGAUGCCCUCUGCACAUCGAAUGGUGAGCAGAGGAAAGAUUUAUCGCUUCGGGACGGUCUCGCGGCCUAUCAGCUAGUUGGUGAGGUAACGGCUCACCAAGGCAUUGACGGGUAGCUAGUCUGAGAGGACGAAUAGCCACACUGGGACUGAGACACGGCCCAGACUCCUACGGGAGGCAGCAGCAGGGAAUCUUGCACAAUGGGCGAAAGCCUGAUGCAGCGACGCCGCGUGGGGGAUGAAGGCCUUAGGGUCGUAAACCCCUUUCAGCAGGGACGAAAAUGACGGUACCUGCAGAAGAAGCCCCGGCCAACUACGUGCCAGCAGCCGCGGUAAGACGUAGGGGGCGAGCGUUGUCCGGAUUUAUUGGGCGUAAAGAGCUCGUAGGCGGUUGCGUAAGUCGGAUGUGAAAACUCAGGGCUCAACCCUGAGACGCCAUCCGAUACUGCGCUGACUUGAAUCCAGUAGGGGAGUGUGGAAUUCCUGGUGUAGCGGUGAAAUGCGCAGAUAUCAGGAGGAACACCCAUGGCGAAGGCAGCACUCUGGGCUGGUAUUGACGCUGAGGAGCGAAAGCAUGGGUAGCGAACAGGAUUAGAUACCCUAGUAGUCC